CAAUUCGAGCAAACUAUCCAAAAAUUGGCGUUCUCGCAGCUCAAAGAUGAACGGGUUAAACUAAUGGUGCGACUUCUUUGGAUGCAAGUGAAGCAUGAACGGAUGGAAGUUUGGUUCGGCGAUGUCGUCCGGAUUGACCACUCGUUGAUUUUGGCGAUUUUCUCAUCGACUCUGAAAUAUCUCGUUCUACUGAUCCAGUUUCAGCUGCAGGGUGGCCACUGAACUCGGCUCAAAGUGCUGAAGGUAAUUCGGUUAUCAAAUGAAACGAGGCGUCUAACUGCUUUUAUGCUUGCAAUAAAACUGUUGAAGCCGAACGAGGUGAAGCGUUCC